rnacentral:rRNA from 1 species
GACGAACGCUGGCGGCGUGCCUAAUACAUGCAAGUAGAACGCUGAAGGAGGAGCUUGCUCUUCUGGAUGAGUUGCGAACGGGUGAGUAACGCGUAGGUAACCUGCCUGGUAGCGGGGGAUAACUAUUGGAAACGAUAGCUAAUACCGCAUAACAGUAGAUGUUGCAUGACAUUUGCUUAAAAGGUGCAAUUGCACCACUACCAGAUGGACCUGCGUUGUAUUAGCUAGUUGGUGGGGUAACGGCUCACCAAGGCGACGAUACAGAGCCGACCUGAGAGGGUGAUCGGCCAACACGGGACUGAGACAAGGCCCAGAAUCCUACGGGAGGCAGCAGUAGGGAAUCUUCGGCAAUGGACGGAAGUCUGACCGAGCAACGCCGCGUGAGUGAAGAAGGUUUUCGGAUCGUAAAGCUCUGUUGUAAGAGAAGAACGAGUGUGAGAGUGGAAAGUUCACACUGUGACGGUAUCUUACCAGAAAGGGACGGCUAACUACGUG